AAAUUUUUUUUUUUAAGAUGUAGGUUGAUGGAAUGUCGUGUGCAAAAUAAAAUUUCGCUUAAAAGAAUUUCUAGAAACUUACCCUGUAAGCGGCGCCUUUGAUCCAUAAUGAGCUCGCAAUGCCGGCUGUUCGUCGAUUUGCUGCACCCAUCUUCGUCGCCACCAUGCUCUUCUCCUGCUUGCCGGCCGGCCGAUGCCAGGACAACGGCGUCGGAGAUGGAUCCACAGUGGCGGCGCCCCACUUCACUCAGCUAGUUCGUGAACUCUUCACGAACUGCAGCAAGAGUUUCACCGCCGAGAUCGUCCAUCGAUGAUCCGGAGAUGGACUGAAGCGGAGCGUUCAACUUCUCGGUGGAUCUAGGUUGUUUUUGGAAAAUUGUAUCAAGCAGAUUAACGGUAUGACCGGCAUUUGUGGGAGACAUCAGAGGGUUAAGAUUUCUAUGCUUGGAUUUUGUUCUAUGGAUUAAAUGAGCAAUGCUUUUUAAGAUUUGGCGUAUAAAGUUUCCAUGCUUUUUUUUAA